AAAAACACAAAGCCUGUUGAAACAUUUUCAGUAUCCAAAUAUACAAAAUUUUCUGAAACACAUCCCUUCUACCAGUUUCUAACAAUGCAUGUCUUCCAGAAAGAAUCUCUCUUUCAUGCAGCUAUGGCUUGUAGUUCAGAUGCAUAAUUCCUCAGAACUAAACAGAGUUCAAGGCAAAAUUUUGUUUCAAACACCAACAAUGGCGUUGUAAGUACCAUAACCAGCAAAUAGCAAUCCACCUACCAAAAAGCAAUAAUCUAAGGCUUUC
rnacentral:misc_RNA from 1 species